rnacentral:rRNA from 1 species
CCUACGGGUGGCAGCAGUGGGGAAUAUUGCACAAUGGGGGAAACCCUGAUGCAGCGACGCCGCGUGAGUGAAGAAGCGUUUCGGCGCGUAAACCUCUGUCAGCGGGGAAGAAACACGGUUCGCGACAGCCGCGGACGGUACCCGACCAAGAAGCCCCGGCUAACUACGUGCCAGCAGCCGCGGUAAUACGUAGGGGGCAAGCGUUAUCCGGAUUCACUGGGUGGAAAGGGCGCGUAGACGGCGAGACAAGUCUGGAGUGAAAGGCCGGGGCCCAACCCCGGGACUGCUGUGGAAACUGCCUGGCUGGAGUACAGGAGAGGUAAGUGGAAUUCCGAGUGUAGCGGUGAAAGGCGUAGAUAUUAGGAGGAACACCAGUGGCGAGGGCAGCCUGCCGGGGUGCGACUGACGCUGAGGCUCGAAGGUGCGGGUAUCAAACAGGAUUAGAUACCCGGGUAGUC